rnacentral:rRNA from 1 species
UACGUAGGGUGCGAGCGUUAAUCGGAAUUACUGGGCGUAAAGCGUGCGCAGGCGGAUUGUUAAGCAAGAUGUGAAAUCCCCGGGCUUAACUUGGGAAUUGCAUUGGUGACUGCACGGCUAGAGUGUGUCAGAGGGGGGUAGAAUUCCACGUGUAGCAGUGAAAUGCGUAGAGAUGUGGAGGAAUACCGAUGGCGAAGGCAGCCCCCUGGGAUAACACUGACGCUCAUGCACGAAAGCGUGGGGAGCAAACAGG